AUUGAACGCUGGCGGAAUGCUUUACACAUGCAAGUCGAACGGCAGCACGGACUUCGGUCUGGUGGCGAGUGGCGAACGGGUGAGUAACGUAUCGGAACGUGCCCAGUCGUGGGGGAUAACGUAGUGAAAAUUACGCUAAUACCGCAUACGAUCUAUGGAUGAAAGCGGGGGAUCGCAAGACCUCGCGCGAUUGGAGCGGCCGAUAUCAGAUUAGGUAGUUGGUGGGGUAAAGGCCCACCAAGCCAACGAUCUGUAGCUGGUCUGAGAGGACGACCAGCCACACUGGAACUGGGACAAGGUCCAGACUCCUACGGGAGGCAGCAGUGGGGAAUUUUGGACAAUGGGCGAAAGCCUGAUCCAGCCAUUCCGCGUGCAGGAUGAAGGCCCUCGGGUUGUAAACUGCUUUUGUACAGAACGAAAAGGUUUCUACUAAUACUAGGAGCUCAUGACGGUACUGUAAGAAUACGCACCGGCUAACUACGUGCCAGCAGCCGCCGUAA
rnacentral:rRNA from 1 species